UGGCGGAGCCGAACCAACCUCAAAGCCGUGAUGAUGUGAGGGUUGACAUUGACCACUCCUAUGGCCAGGCUGGGCCCAGAGCUAAGUGGCAGGGUCGAGCUAGGCGGAUGGAAGCCGACAU
rnacentral:snRNA from 13 species